GUUGUUGUGGGAAAAACCCUCUAUUUGGUCUGUCACACAGUUUGAUAAAUCUGGGCCAUGGAGUCAGUAUGAGCCCAUCAUGUUCCAUAUUUAUUUUAGCAGUCCAUUAGAUUAUCUGGAAAAAAGCUGCCUAAGAUAGAAAUCAGUGGAUUCCACUUUACUGCUGCAUAUAAUUCUUGCAAGAAAAAUAUCAAAGAUACGCUAUACAUAAGCAUGAGGAGACCAUAUAUGGGCUGAAUGACACAGCCUGGAGGAGGCGGAAGCAUGAGGAGGCCAUAUAGUGGCAGAAUGACAGCCUGGAAGUGGCAGAAACCUGACGAGACCAUACCGCAUCAUAAUUGAAAAUAUUAAAGACAUAUUUUAAAAUUUAAAUUGAAGAUUUUAAAUAUAUUAUCAUGAAAAUAUUUUCAACUUGGAGUUACUAUGGCCCCCGCCACACUAAACACCCGCUCUGAUGGCACACUACUGGCCGGGCAGGACAGCUUUUCCAGGGCAAACUCUGCUAGUUGUAGCCCCAAAUCAAGUUUGGCUUCCCAGAAGUCCAGCGGAUCUUAUUAGUGUGUUGGCAUAGUCA